rnacentral:rRNA from 2 species
UGCAGUCNNNNAACUUUCCUAUUGAUUGAUGCUUGCAUCAUGAUUUAGAUCUAAGUGAGUGGCGGACGGGUGAGUAACACGUGGGUAACCUGCCCAGAAGUGGGGGAUAACAUUUGGAAACAAGUGCUAAUACCGCAUAACAACAUUAAACACAUGUUUUUUGUUUAAAAGAUGGUUUUGCUAUCUCUUCUGGAUGGACCCGCGGCGUAUUAGCUAGUUGGUGAGGUAAUAGCUCACCAAGGCGAUGAUACGUAGCCGACCUGAGAGGGUAAUCGGCCACAUUGGGACUGAGACACGGCCCAAACUCCUACGGGAGGCAGCAGUAGGGAAUCUUCCACAAUGGACGAAAGUCUGAUGGAGCAAUGCCGCGUGAGUGAAGAAGGUUUUCGGAUCGUAAAACUCUGUUGUUGAAGAAGAACAUAUGUGAGAGUAACUGUUCACGUACUGACGGUAUUCAACCAGAAAGCCACGGCUAACUACGUGCCAGCAGCCGCGGUAAUACGUAGGUGGCAAGCGUUGUCCGGAUUUAUUGGGCGUAAAGAGAAUGUAGGCGGUUCAUUAAGUUUGAAGUGAAAGCCCUCGGCUCAACCGAGGAAGUGCUUCGAAAACUGGUGAACUUGAGUGCAGAAGAGGAAAGUGGAACUCCAUGUGUAGCGGUGGAAUGCGUAGAUAUAUGGAAGAACACCAGUGGCGAANGCGGCUUUCUGGUCUGUAACUGACGCUGAGAUUCGAAAGCAUGGGUAGCAA